UACGAAGGGUGCAAGCGUUACUCGGAAUUACUGGGCGUAAAGCGUGCGUAGGUGGUGAGUUAAGUCUGUCGUGAAAGCCCCGGGCUCAACCUGGGAAUGGCGAUGGAUACUGGCUCGCUAGAGUGCGGUAGAGGAGAGUGGAAUUCCCGGUGUAGCAGUGAAAUGCGUAGAGAUCGGGAGGAACAUCAGUGGCGAAGGCGGCCAUCUGGGACAACACUGACGCUGAGGCACGAAAGCGUGGGGAGCAAACAGG
rnacentral:rRNA from 1 species